rnacentral:rRNA from 1 species
CAGUCGAGCGAAUCGAUGGGAGCUUGCUCCCUGAGAUUAGCGGCGGACGGGUGAGUAACACGUGGGCAACCUGCCUAUAAGACUGGGAUAACUUCGGGAAACCGGAGCUAAUACCGGAUACGUUCUUUUCUCGCAUGAGAGAAGAUGGAAAGACGGUUUACGCUGUCACUUAUAGAUGGGCCCGCGGCGCAUUAGCUAGUUGGUGAGGUAAUGGCUCACCAAGGCGACGAUGCGUAGCCGACCUGAGAGGGUGAUCGGCCACACUGGGACUGAGACACGGCCCAGACUCCUACGGGAGGCAGCAGUAGGGAAUCUUCCGCAAUGGACGAAAGUCUGACGGAGCAACGCCGCGUGAACGAAGAAGGCCUUCGGGUCGUAAAGUUCUGUUGUUAGGGAAGAACAAGUACCAGAGUAACUGCUGGUACCUUGACGGUACCUAACCAGAAAGCCACGGCUAACUACGUGCCAGCAGCCGCGGUAAUACGUAGGUGGCAAGCGUUGUCCGGAAUUAUUGGGCGUAAAGCGCGCGCAGGUGGUUCCUUAAGUCUGAUGUGAAAGCCCACGGCUCAACCGUGGAGGGUCAUUGGAAACUGGGGAACUUGAGUGCAGAAGAGGAAAGUGGAAUUCCAAG